GGCAUCUUAAAAGCCUGGUUGACCUGGGUUCUUCGCUGCAGAGGGCUGGCAGGAGGAGGGCAGGCACCACAUCAAGCCUCCCAAGUGGUUCUUCCACUGAAGUCACCCAGGGAGCCAAAUGCACUUCCAGGAUGAACCUUAGAAAAAGCUGCUUUGUCUCCAGCACAAUUUCAGAGCUGGGAUAUCAACCACAGAAGCUGCUUUUCUUGGACCUAAGGAGGAAAAUCAAAUUUUCACCCCAUGGCCAGUCUCCCUCUUUCCAACGCUCCUGCGGGGUAAGGAGAGCUGGGUGGACCACCUCACGUUCUCCAGCACAAACAGCUUCAAGAUGAGGUGAAAAGGAAGAGUAAAACAGCAGGGAUGGGAAAAGGGGAAAAACCCCUGGAAACAAAGCAAGGUCUCAUUUUUGGGGCCAGACCUUACUGGCGAGG